rnacentral:rRNA from 1 species
AUGGAGGGGCUAGACGUCGACGACGUCUUCCACCACUACCGGCUGAGCCCUACGGAAGUGGAGGCCGUCACCUACUACCUGCCACGCCUCCUCUCCGGCGAGACGCUGCAUGCCGUCGACAAGCUCAUCCACCGCGUCGACAUCACCGGCUGCGAGCCCAAGGAUCUGGCCGCCCGAUACGCGCCCGUGCCGCAGGCCAUGAGCAGCGGCGACCGGUUCUUCUUCACCACGUGCAAGAGCAAGAACGGGAGCAAGCUCCAGAGCGUGCGCAGCGCCGGCGGCGGCACCUGGAGCAUCCAGAAAACCUCGGAGAUUAGCCACGCGGGAGUCAAGGUCGGCGAGGUCAAGAACCUGUCCUUCAAGAAGAAGGGCAAGUCGACAGGCUGGGUCAUGGAGGAAUACCGGUGCCUGCUGCCGGAGGCCACCGUCUCCGACGGGGUGAAGGUGUUCAGCAAGAUGCACUUGGCUCAGCAUGCUCCUGACGCGGCCCGCCAGGAAUCGGAGGCGUACAAGCUUCAGCAACAGCAACCAGAGGCCGUGACCCCGAGCACGCACGCGCAGAAGAGGCCAGCGACCGCUGCCGCCGUUGAUCCUCAACCGGCACGCCCCAAGAAGAGGACGUGCGUUGCCGUCCCCGUCCCGGCACCUGGAGCAUCGGCCACACCGUCGUUCUUGAUGUAUGAUGAGGCAGCCAGAGCAAUGCAUGGCCCGCUGCCUCACACCAACUUCCCUGUUCAGUAUGCACAAGCAUCAUGCGAGUCCACUACAACAUCCAGCCACUCCGACGUUGCUCAAGCUCCUGAGAUUUCCUCCCAGCUAGAUGUGAUGGAGUCCACCCAAUCAGAAGAGGCUGGCUCGAGCAUUGCAAGGAGCACAUCUGAAGAGGAUGUGUUUGAGCCAUUGGGGCCUAUUUCCGAUUUGCCGGAUUGGGAGGAAGAUGGUUUUGAUCUUGAAGAACUAAUGAGAAUGAUGGAAGACGACCCAAUUGAAGUUGAGCCGGUCACUGGAGCCAACACUGGCGUGGAGAUGGGCCAACAGGAACCUCUGUACCUGGAUGCCUUGGACCAAGGCGUGCUGGAGGGCAUGCUGCAGUCUGAUGACCCUUACCCAAUGUGGAGAUCAGAGGAUCAGGCCAUGCACAACCCUGCCUUCCAUGAUGACAAGGAGAAGAGGUACAAUGCCGCGUCGGAUCUUGACGCUCCAUCGCUUCAGGGACAGGACCACUUGUUCAAACCGCGGCCGUGCUCCUUCGAUCCAUUUGAAGCAGCAUGGAAGGCCGAAGAGGCGCUCGAGAAGGAGAAGAGGUGCAAUGCCGCGGCCAAUCUUCACGCUGGAGGGCACAGCAACUUCUUCUCGCCUGCAAGUGUCUACUAA